UAGUCCACGCCCUAAACGAUGUGUGCUAGAUGUCGGGGGACUUGUCCCUUGGUGUCGGAGCUAACGUGUUAAGCACACCGCCUGGGGAGUACGGUCGCAAGAUUAAAACUCAAAGGAAUUGACGGGGGCCCGCACAAGCGGUGGAGCAUGUGGUUUAAUUCGACGCAACGCGCAGAACCUUACCAGCUCUUGACAUGAUAGCCGCGGUUCCGAGAGAUCGGUUCUUUCCUUCGGGAGGCUAUUACAGGUGCUGCAUGGCUGUCGUCAGCUCGCGUCGUGAGAUGUUGGGUUAAGUCCCGCAACGAGCGCAACCCUUGCCUUUAGUUGCCAUCGGGUUUGGCCGGGCACUCUAAAGGAACUGCCGGUGGCAAGCCGGAGGAAGGUGGGGAUGACGUCAAGUCCUCACGGCCCUUACGCGUAGGGCUACACACGUGCUACAAUGGUGGCUACAAUGGGAUAAUCCCCAAAAGCCAUCUCAGUUCGGAUUGUCGUCUGCAACUCGACGGCAUGAAGUUGG
rnacentral:rRNA from 1 species